UGUUCAAAGAGGGCUUAUGGGGCUGUGAAGCCAGGAACUCUUAAUUCUAUAACCAAAGAUUGAGGUUCUCCAUAGGGUGUCAUAGUUCCUCAACAGUGCUAAGUAUUUUUGAGGAGAUAUAAUA